AGCUCUCCUGCUUUCCGCGUAUAGAUGAUGGGUGUUGAUGCAAGGUGGCAGUUGUCGAGAGAUAUGUCCCAGCGGCUGCCGAAACUUCAUAUCUGCAAAACUCGUCCGAUGCAUGUACGUUUUAGUUCUAGCCUUUCGUGCCAUGGAAGACGUGCUUGCUUGCUUCCCCCACAGCACGAGCUGCAAACGAAGGGAAGAAGAAAGCUGCACACAUGGCCGUGAGUUCACCCGAGAACUCCAAACAUUCCAUGGCCCGAGAGGCGAGAAGUACUGCAUACAUUCACAAAAUACGCAAAUCAGAUAUGUGCAUGCACUCGGACACAUCACUCGAGUAAUUGUCACAAUGCAGUAACGCCCCUCAUCUAUACAUUUGAAAAUAGGAGAUCU